CUUUCGGGGUACACGAGCGGCGAACGGGUGAGUAACACGUGGGUGAUCUGCCCUGCACUUCGGGAUAAGCCUGGGAAACUGGGUCUAAUACCGGAUAUGACCUCCUGUUGCAUGACUUGGGGUGGAAAGAUUUAUCGGUGCAGGAUGGGCCCGCGGCCUAUCAGCUUGUUGGUGGGGUAAUGGCCUACCAAGGCGACGACGGGUAGCCGACCUGAGAGGGUGACCGGCCACACUGGGACUGAGACACGGCCCAGACUCCUACGGGAGGCAGCAGUGGGGAAUAUUGCACAAUGGGCGAAAGCCUGAUGCAGCGACGCCGCGUGAGGGAUGACGGCCUUCGGGUUGUAAACCUCUUUCAGCAGGGACGAAGCGCAAGUGACGGUACCUGCAGAAGAAGCACCGGCUAACUACGUGCCAGCAGCCGCGGUAAUACGUAGGGUGCAAGCGUUGUCCGGAAUUACUGGGCGUAAAGAGUUCGUAGGCGGUUUGUCGCGUCGUUUGUGAAAACCAGCAGCUCAACUGCUGGCUUGCAGGCGAUACGGGCAGACUUGAGUACUGCAGGGGAGACUGGAAUUCCUGGUGUAGCGGUGAAAUGCGCAGAUAUCA
rnacentral:rRNA from 1 species